rnacentral:rRNA from 1 species
UACGUAGGGUGCAAGCGUUGUCCGGAAUUAUUGGGCGUAAAGAGCUCGUAGGCGGUUUGUCGCGUCUGCUGUGAAAACCCGAGGCUCAACCUCGGGCCUGCAGUGGGUACGGGCAGACUAGAGUGCGGUAGGGGAGAUUGGAAUUACUGGUGUAGCGGUGGAAUGCGCAGAUAUCAGGAGGAACACCGAUGGCGAAGGCAGAUCUCUGGGCCGUAACUGACGCUGAGGAGCGAAAGCAUGGGGAGCGAACAGG